rnacentral:rRNA from 1 species
GACGAACGCUGGCGGCGUGCCUAAUACAUGCAAGUAGAACGCUGAAGAGAGGAGCUUGCUCUUCUUGGAUGAGUUGCGAACGGGUGAGUAACGCGUAGGUAACCUGCCUUGUAGCGGGGGAUAACUAUUGGAAACGAUAGCUAAUACCGCAUAACAAUGGAUGACCCAUGUCAUUUAUUUGAAAGGGGCAAAUGCUCCACUACAAGAUGGACCUGCGUUGUAUUAGCUAGUAGGUGAGGUAACGGCUCACCUAGGCGACGAUACAUAGCCGACCUGAGAGGGUGAUCGGCCACACUGGGACUGGAACACGGCCCAGACUCCUACGGGAGGCAGCAGUAGGGAAUCUUCGGCAAUGGGGGCAACCCUGACCGAGCAACGCCGCGUGAGUGAAGAAGGUUUUCGGAUCGUAAAGCUCUGUUGUAAGUCAAGAACGAGUGUGAGAGUGGAAAGUUCACACUGUGACGGUAGCUUACCAGAAAGGGACGGCUAACUACGUG